ACAGGGAUUGCCCUAGUAACGGCGAGUGAAGCGGCAACAGCUCAAAUUUGAAAUCUGGCUCUUUCAGAGUCCGAGUUGUAAUUUGCAGAGGGCGCUUUGGCUUUGGCAGCGGUCCAAGUUCCUUGGAACAGGACGUCACAGAGGGUGAGAAUCCCGUACGUGGUCGCUAGCUAUUGCCGUGUAAAGCCCCUUCGACGAGUCGAGUUGUUUGGGAAUGCAGCUCUAAAUGGGAGGUAAAUUUCUUCUAAAGCUAAAUAUUGGCCAGAGACCGAUAGCGCACAAGUAGAGUGAUCGAAAGAUGAAAAGCACUUUGGAAAGAGAGUCAAACAGCACGUGAAAUUGUUGAAAGGGAAGCGCUUGCAGCCAGACUUGCUUGCAGUUGCUCAUCCGGGCUUUUGCCCGGUGCACUCUUCUGCAGGCAGGCCAGCAUCAGUUUGGGCGGUGGGAUAAAGGUCUCUGUCAUGUACCUCUCUUCGGGGAGGCCUUAUAGGGGAGGCGACAUACCACCAGCCUAGACUGAGGUCCGCGCAUCUGCUAGGAUGCUGGCGUAAUGGCUGUAAGCGGCCCGUCUUGAAACACGGACCAAGGAGUCUAACAUCUAUGCGAGUGUUUGGGUGUCAAGCCCGAGCGCGUAAUGAAAGUGAACGGAGGUGGGAACCCGCAAGGGUGCACCAUCGACCGAUCCUGAAGUUUACGGAAGGAUUUGAGUAAGAGCAUGGCUGUUGGGACCCGAAAGAUGGUGAACUAUGCUUGAAUAGGGUGAAGCCAGAGGAAACUCUGGUGGAGGCUCGCAGCGGUUCUGACGUGCAAAUCGAUCGUCAAAUUUGGGCAUAGGGGCGAAAGACUAAUCGAACUAUCUAGUAGCUGGUCUGC
rnacentral:rRNA from 1 species